AAAUGGCGUCGAAUCAACAUCGUUUGACAUAUUACAUAAAAUAACCGUGAAAUGUCUAUUUUUUAAUCGAGAAUUUUUCAAAUAGUCAAUCAUUUGGAAUAUGUCAAAGUUGUCAUUAUUUUUGCGUUGUAAAUUUAAAGUUUCUUGUAAAAUUAAUUGAAACAUGGCCGAAAAUGAAGUCAUACAAAAGAACGAUAAUACAAGAGAAAAAACCGGAAGUAUAUUACGUCAUAUUUUAAAAGUUAAAGAUGAAUUAAUAGAACUUCCGGAAUAUGCUGUCCUAACAGACAGAAUCGACGGUGGUUCUUCUUGUGAAACUAUAACAUUAGAUGACGAAUUUACACCUAGAAACAUAGAAAAUAUUUGUGAAUAUCACCGAGAAACAUUCUCAGACGAUUCGUUGGAAGAUUCUAGCGGGAAAGUAAACGUCAAAAAUGUGGGCGGUGCGAAGCACCAUCGAUCUAAUCUCGUGGGAUCAUUGACUUCAACUAAUUUAAAUGCUGGAGCUGAAAAAUCGUUAAAGAAACCGAGUAUGAUACCGAAAUUAUCUCGAAAUUUCAAAACGAAAUCAAAUUCAAACGAACAUAAAUAUUUAUGUAAAAAUAGUUGUGUGGACGAACAAAAAAAAUAUCAAAAUGUAAAAACGAACGUUAAAUUCCCCAAAUGUCAAGUGGACGUACCCCCGAUGAAACUGACCAACUUACAACAAAAAUUAAAAGCCACGACGUCGAUAAUUAAACAAAAAAUGGAAUACGGUAACCCGAAAGUUAAUAACGGCUCGAAAGAUGUUGGUAGGGGCCGAUGCGUACACUCAAAUAGCUCUUACGCUCUGAUUGGUCAAGAAAAAUCGACGAAUAGUCUGGCGGCUCUGUACGGAAAUAUAGUUCAAAUGCGUGAAACGGCUUUGGCGCUUUCUAAAAGCGACAAUUUCAAAAAUCAAAAAGGAUAUAUCGAAAAAUUGUUUAAGAGCAUCUCGGACAUUCAAAAUAUUGCGGAUAAAUUAGAUGAAAUUGAAAGAAAAAUGCAGUACGUGGGGUGAGUUUAGACUAAAUAUUAAGUUUUAAUAACAAAUUUGAAGUAUCUGUGAGCGGACAAAGACCAGUCAAGAUCCUUAAAUCGAAAAUAGGGAUAAAUAAAGAACAUAACCUCAGCUUUUCAGAUACGAAACUUAAUAAAGACGUAAAAUCGAGAGAUAAAGAUAAUAUAUCGUCAAAUGACGUAUAUCAAGAAGUUGCUUCGAAUAUGACCUUGACUGCUUGAAUUCUCCGUAAAUUUAAGUUAUUAUGUAAACAGUAGUUUCAUAUUAUUUUUAUCGUUAUUAUAAUAAAAAAAGUAUUUUGUUC